UACAUAGGUAAACGUGUGCCAUGGUGGUU
rnacentral:piRNA from 1 species